UCUGCAGCCAGUGUAAUUUUGUCCAUAAACCGGCUGAAGUGGUUCUUUAGCCCGUCUGUUAUAAUUUGCAGUUGCGCAUGUGCAGUAGCGUACUCUUUUCCACAACUCACUGAAGCCCUUUUUGCACAGGAGACAACAAGCUAGCUAAUGGAGUGCUCGGAACCUCUCCUCAGACGGCCUGAGUAUGUCUGCUCAACACGGAGCACACACAUUUCUCCUCUGACUGUCUUUCUCUGAGGCCUGGUUGAGGCUAUGUCAGCAGCAGCUCUUAUCAGGACACCCACCUCUACCCAGCAGUCAUCUCCUCUCAUCGAAUAUCAAAGGCCAAAAUCUCAACCAACUUCUCAGAUUCUGCGUGUGGGAUGGGAAAGAAGCAAUUUUCCAAAAUCCCACCAGACCCACAGCGGUGCUCGACUCCUGCCAUGAGCUUCCUGCCCCGGUCUAGCUGCUGCUGUCAGUAUGACUCUCACUGCCUGCCUGACUUAUAUUUAUGACUCUGGUGCAGCGAGGUUAAGUCGCUUCUGUUUAGUCAGUUUAUGAGUGGUGUCUCCUCUGUCUCCUCUCUACUUGUAUCUCCAUACAAGCUUAUUCUGCUCUUCUUCUCUGCAGGAAAGAGAGAAAAAAAUGUAAUUGGCCACUUCAUGUCAAGCAGACUAAAAAUAAUAGACUGAACUAAUGAUUCAUACCAAAAAUGUAAAAGUACCAAAAGUAAUAAUAAAUGAUGGGACAUCCUUAUACUGGUGUUCAUGGUUUAAGGAAACUCAAUAUACAGUACUUCUUAUAAGAAUAUCAGUAUAGGGUAGAGAAGGGCGAUACUGAGAAUUUUGGUAUCGAUCCGAUACCAAGAAAAUGCAGGGCCAGUAUUGCCGAUAUCGAUACUGAUACUUUUUUAAUAUUUAAGCUUCAUAGAUCCAAAGGAUCCAAAAGACCUAGGAAGAAUUUAGCCAAAUAUUGUACAUGACAACAAAAUACCUAACUAUCACAAUCAACAUUUUUGUUUAGAAUCAAUGAAACAGUUACAAAACAAAGUUAGCCAAAGUUGACAUCAGGAAACCUUUUAUUUUUUUGAGGUA